AUUAUGGCUUCUCCUAAUUUCUCAAGUGGCCAUUAGUUUGUAAUCAGCAACACAAUUUAUAAGCUUGCUUGUCAGACAGUAUCUUUCUCAUUUUAAACCGUAUCUGGGUUUCCUUGAGCAAGUACAGUUCUGUUUUUCAGUCUGGGUACAAUUGUAAAGUCACCUAUGAAAUUCUAGGACUACGUCUUGGAAUGUGUGAUUGGAGCAGAUAUCUUUAAUAUGUGCUCAUUUUGUCACCUACGAAGUCUCCUUUACCUCACAACCCCACCGGCAACUGAGCGGAUUCUUGACUGCGUUUUGGCUUUGUGGAACUCUUUGGUCUCGAGACACAUUCCCUUGCUCUGAGAUGUGCCACUUCAACUCAUCUUUCCUGAGGAUGUUCAGCUACUGACAACCAAUUUUCCCUUAUGCACCUCCUGGGUGCGGGGAGCUUCUUGCAAAUCUGACUGGACCACUGCAGACUGUACUUCACAAUAUUGUUGACUAGGAAAGGUUAGGAGCAGCUCUGUCUCUCUCUUGUUGUGGAUACCUACAAACAAAACCUAUAAGCAGAAACCAACUCCAGACUCCCAGGCUUGUGUUUCUUCUCCUGUGAAGCCAGCCCAUAAGGGGUUAAUGAUCUCAUCCAGAGAUUUCUGCUCUGAAGAGGGGUUGGAAGUGUUUUAUUUACAAGCCACAGAUUAAAGAUGUAAGCAUGUCUUAGUUUCAAGGUCCACCACUUCAUAAAGCCGUAUUCUCUUUUGUGACAGAAGUAGGCAGCUCUGGAAACCAUAGGUUUCCUGGGUGGCCUGGUAUAAAUCUGAAGCCAAGAAGUCCUCUUUAGACAGAGAGUUGGUCAGCUGCAGAGCUCAGGGUCACUCAAAUAAGACCCCGGGGAGAGGAAAAGUGUGAAACAUCCUGUAAGAACAGCCCUCACAGGGCUGUCGACAUGAAUUUUGAAUUAUGGCUUCCAUAGCUAGCUCAUUCUCAAGAGACACGAAGGCUGUUAGGUUGGUUUUUAUCUCUGUCUACUACUUGGUAGAACGAUCCAGGAGAAAGUUUGCUUUAAAAAGAACAAGCUGAGUUUCCCAGUCAGGGAUGGAGUGAAAGCUUCUUUCUCUUUUUCUUGCUGGGCUCCGUGGAAGAGUCUCCAGAGCACAGAUCCUUAUCCAAGCAAGAAGAGGGUGUGUGCCAUGGCCGCCCUAGCUGUUCUCAAGCGAGGCCUGUGGGCUGGGGCCAGGAGCAGGAAUUCCCCACACAGACACAGAGUCUGCUGCCCGAGACAGGAGCCGCGGCUCCACAGAAAGCCACUCUGUUCCCUGCCACCAGGUAAUGCUCACACAACACACACACACAGCAGUGGAAAAAGGAGUAUUUGAAAGGAGUGUUUUUUUUCCCUAGAAUACACAGUGCUCUUAUUUCCUUAGGGGUGCAGUAAAAAUUAGCAAUGAAUAAGUUGCCAAAUGUAGCUAAGAGUCAGUAAGGAUAUUUAUCUCCACAGGCUGGGGUUGCUGGACGGGUUGCUGGGACAAACUUUGAAUCCUUCUAUAAAUCAUAAUGAAAGAUUAAAAUAAGAAAGCAUUUGCUAAACAUGCCUGCAAGGAGGCUUUUAUACUGCUGUUUUUUUUUUUUUCCUUGCCAACUGCUGCUUUAGAUAUCACUGGGCUGUGAAUCCAACAGAAAAUGUGUAUUUGUUUGA